rnacentral:tRNA from 1 species
GAGCCCGUGGCUCAAUGUUUAGAGCGUUUGAUUUCUGAUCAACGGGCCGCAGGUUCA